rnacentral:rRNA from 1 species
GACAAACGCUGGCGGCGUGCCUAACACAUGCAAGUCGAAACGGUCCUCCUUCGGGAGGAUAGUGGCGGACGGGUGAGUAACACGUAGAUAACCUGCCCCGAUGUGGGGAAUAACAUCUCGAAAGAGAUGCUAAUACCGCAUAAGUUCUAUAUCGCAAGGUAUAGAAGGAAACGCUCUCGCAAGGGAGUGGCGUUGGGAGGGGUCUGCGGCGAUUAGCCAGUUGGUGAGGUAACGGCUCACCAAAGCGACGAUCCGUAGCUGGUCUGAGAGGAC